rnacentral:rRNA from 1 species
CCUACGGGGUGCUGCAGUGAGGAAUAUUGGUCAAUGGCCGUAAGGCUGAACCAGCCAAGUCGCGUGAAGGAAGAAGGAUCUAUGGUUUGUAAACUUCUUUUAUAGGGGAAUAAAGGUAUCCACGUGUGGAUAUUUGCAUGUACCCUAUGAAUAAGCAUCGGCUAACUCCGUGCCAGCAGCCGCGGUAAUACGGAGGAUGCGAGCGUUAUCCGGAUUUAUUGGGUUUAAAGGGUGCGUAGGUUGUUUUUUAAGUCAGCGGUGAAAGUUUGUGGCUCAACCAUAAAAUUGCCGUUGAAACUGGAAGACUUGAGUACAGUUGAGGUAGGCGGAAUUCGUGGUGUAGCGGUGAAAUGCUUAGAUAUCACGAAGAACCCCGAUUGCGAAGGCAGCUUACUAAACUGUGACUGACAUUGAUGCUCGAAAGUGUGGGUAUCAAACAGGAUUAGAUACCCUUGUAGUC